rnacentral:rRNA from 1 species
UACGUAGGGGGCAAGCGUUGUCCGGAUUUAUUGGGCGUAAAGAGCUCGUAGGUGGUUCGGUAAGUCGGAUGUGAAAUCUCCAGGCUCAACCUGGAGGGGUCAUUCGAUACUGCCGUGACUAGAGUUCGGUAGGGGAGUGUGGAAUUCCUGGUGGAGCGGUGAAAUGCGCAGAUAUCAGGAGGAACACCGGUGGCGAAGGCGGUUCUCUGGGCCUGACCUGACGCUGAGGAGCGAAAGCGUGGGGAGCGAACAGG